GACGAACGCUGGCGGCGUGCUUAACACAUGCAAGUCGAACGGAAAGGCCCUGCUUUUGUGGGGUGCUCGAGUGGCGAACGGGUGAGUAACACGUGAGUAACCUGCUCUUGACUUUGGGAUAACUUCAGGAAACUGGGGCUAAUACCGGAUAGGAGCUCCUGCUGCAUGGUGGGGGUUGGAAAGUUUCGGCGGUUGGGGAUGGACUCGCGGCUUAUCAGCUUGUUGGUGGGGUAGUGGCUUACCAAGGCUUUGACGGGUAGCCGGCCUGAGAGGGUGACCGGCCACAUUGGGACUGAGAUACGGCCCGGACUCCUACGGGAGGCAGCAGUGGGGAAUAUUGCACAAUGGGCGGAAGCCUGAUGCAGCAACGCCGCGUGCGGGAUGACGGCCUUCGGGUUGUAAACCGCUUUCGCCUGUGACGAAGCGUGAGUGACGGUAAUGGGUAAAGAAGCACCGGCUAACUACGUG
rnacentral:rRNA from 1 species